UACGGAGGGUGCGAGCGUUGUCCGGAAUCAUUGGGCGUAAAGGGCGCGUAGGUGGCCCGGGCAGUUCGUGGUGAAAGCGCGGGGCUCAACCCUGCGUCGGCCAUGAAUACUGCCGCGGCUGGAGCACUGUAGAGGCAGGCGGAAUUCCGGGUGUAGCGGUGGAAUGCGUAGAUAUCCGGAAGAACACCGGUGGCGAAGGCGGCCUGCUGGGCAGUUGCUGACACUGAGGCGCGACAGCGUGGGGAGCAAACAGG
rnacentral:rRNA from 1 species